GAAGAGGGAGGCUCAAAGGAUCCGGGGUCUGGAGAACAAGAAUCCCCAGGAGGAGCGGCUUAAAGACCUGCAGGAGAGAAGGCGGAGAGAGAGGAGGCAGGAGGAGGGCCAGGGAUCACAGAGUGGGUGCACAUGUUAAAAGCUGCAUGGAUGAAGACGGAACGAAAAAAAUGGCUGGAGGAAAUUUGGAAUGGACAACCAGGAGCAGCCUUAAAGAAAGUUUGGGGUAGUAGUAAUAAUAAUCUAUAUAUAUAUAAAAGAGUGAUGGAAUCCUGGCAACCGACAAAACAAUAAAACUAAACACCCCACAACCUCGAAAAUUGAUAGCACAACCCCUCAUCCAUGCCUCUAGGUUGAUACAACAAAAAGAGAAGAAAAAUAAAGUCCUAAUUAGAGGGAGAGGAAUAAUUGUUUUUAUCCAAUUGCUGCCAGUUAGAAGGCUAAGCUCUGCCCACUUGGUCUCCUAGCAACCCACUCAGCCCAGGGGACAGGCAAAGUUAGACCACACUUAGGCCUGAUCCACACUGCCUAUAAAAUACAGACACCACCAGACAAUGCCACAGCAACGUGUGGCCGGGCACAGCUAGUAAUAAUAAUAAUAAGUCGAACACUUCCCACAGUCCUAGACACUUGGGAAGUGUUCGACUGGUGAUUUUGUGAAACGAAAUCCAGCAUAUCUAUCUUGUUUGCUGUGUCAUACAAUAAUAUAAUAAUAAUAAUAAUAAUAAUAAUAAUAAUAACUUUAUUUUUCUAUCCUGCCUCCAUCUCCCCAAAGGGACUCGUGGCGGCUUAGACAGGGCCAAGCCCAAGAACAAAUAAUAAGCAAAGUAAAAUACAUAUAAAAUACAGCAUAUGCAACUGGAUAAAACACAUUAAAACCAAAUAAUACAAUAUAAUAAUAGUAAAAACCAACCUAAAACAUGAUGAAAUGAUAAAACAUGAUAAAAUGUUUUUUAGAGCCCACACAUCUGAGGACAUAAAAAAUAGUCCUGGAUACAAAUCUAACUGAAUAUCGGAAAUAUGUUACAUAUUACACACUAAUGAAGUUGACUGUUGGAUACAUUCAUAUGUAUCGGACAGAAACGGCUUCUUUAUUUACUCAAGGUGUUUAUAACCAACAUAAAAACAGAAACCUCAAAUGUUACAAGGAAACAAAUUAAUCGGCUGAAACAGUGUCAAAAUGUGAAGAUAUUUGAAGGUUACUUCUAGUUUACUUCUAGUUGCAAUACUUGCCUCUCCUUCGAGGAAAGAGAUUUUCUCCAAAAGCUGUACUAUAAACAGUUCCUUUUGUUUCAUCUUCCUCUUUUGCAGCUCAAUCUAUGAAGAAAGGAAAAAAGAAAGAAGGAAAAUGAUAUCAGUUGAUUAAUGAAUUCGGAGCAUGAACGCUGGAAGAAACCUCACCCGUACUGCAUCGCGUAAUAGUCGCACCCUCUUUUGGGGGGGUUGGGAAAAUUGGUAUUUUUGUGGUCCUCACAUAAUAGUCGCAACCCUAUUUGAGGCUUAUUCUCCCUCUCUUCUCCAAAGGCAAGGGAGCUUUAAAGUCUCUGGAGCGCCACCAAUUUUGCCGACCUCAAAGCGGAGAUGAGACUAUUACACGAUGAAAUAGGAGUGAGAUUUCAAGCUGCCUUAAAGCCUUGGAGGGAGGAAGGAAGGAAGGAAGGAAGGAAGGAAGGAAGGAAGGAAGGAGGCAGGAGAGAAGAGUGGAGCUCCAGAGGGGCUGCGGUGGUACAGCUGCAGUAAAAGCUGCUGACCGGAGGUCUGGCAGUUCGAAGGCGCAAGUUGCAGUGAGCUCCCACUGUCAGCCCUAGCUUCUGUCAAUCUAGCAGUUCAAAAGCAUGCAAUGUGAGUAGAUCAAUGGGUACCAUUCCAGAAGGCCUUUGAUGAUUGAUCCUUGUAGGAUCGAAUUACUUGCCUACUAAGCAAUAGACCCUCAGGUAUGUUUUCUCAGGAUUACACGUAGCACUUUAAUUACUACACCAGCUGUGUAAUUACCCCUCCCUGAUGACUUGACAUUUUUUCUGCACCUUGGCCCAGAUCUUUUGAUCCAACUCAUGAUUCUAACAUUAUUUUGUAUAUUGACCUUUUAUGACUGUUUUUAUCCAUGUUUAUGUUUUAUUGUUGGCUGAUUUAUUUAUUGUUUUUGUUUUGAUUUUGUGCUGUGGUGUCCGGGCAUAGCCCCAUGUAAGCCGCCCCGAGUCCCUUUGGGGAGAUGGGGCGGGGUAUAAGAAUAAAGUUAUUAUUAUUAUUAUUAUUAUUAUUAUUAUUAUUAUUAUUAUUAUUAUUACCACCUCGGUGGGAACGUAAAAGGGUGCUCCAUGCAGGCAUGCUGGCAAAAUAGAUCGGAAAUGUCUAUGGUAUCAGAGCUCUCACGCAGGCACACACGGGAAGGGACA